GCUACUAAUUUCAGUAUUUACAGUAGCAUGGACUCAAACUUUUAGGACUUUUAGUUUCUACUCGAACCACGGUGCAACGUUUCUUUUUGACAGGAAUUUUGUUUUGUUUUGUUUUCGGAUCAAUCAGUCGUAAUUUUGGAAUGUUUCGAUUCCGUUUUACCAUUAAAAGUUGUGCGCCGUGUUUUGUUUGCCGUUCAGAGAGAGUUCAUCACAUAAUGCUCCGAAACCUACCUGUCCGGCCGGAUACGAUUCAAACGAUUUUCGAUGGUAGUGGAGGAUGGAACCAUCAAAAUGUUGAAUACGAUGGUCCUUCUCUUUGCCGAUUCCCGAAGACUUUUCAUGUUGGCCGUUUGGAUAAAGCUCCAGCGGAUGGUUUGUUUUGGUUUGAAACAAUUUUAAGUGGAAUCGGAAUUUUGUUUGGUAAGUGCGAUAAAUAAUUGAAAUUUAGCUUAAAAGAAAAAUAAUUCAGCUUUGUUUUUCAGGUUUCACUAUUUCUGAAGUUAUUCGAAAAGAAGCGACUGUUUCCAAAGUUCGAUAGAGUUGCCACUUCCAGCGAAAACACAUCUCCAGUUGAAGGGCUACUCACAACGGCAUCCGGUAGCCGCGACAACGUAGGAUUGCCCUAAAAUCUGCCCGAAAAUGAGGAAGCCGGUUCGAUUAAUGCUGUUAACGUGGGCUCGGAAGUUAACGCGGAUAAGGUCAUCAUUGGAUGUGGUUCAACAGCCUUGGGCUGCCGUAUUGGAGUCGUACAAAAUUUGCAUUCAAUAAUAUUUUGAUAACGUUGCUUUACGCUAUCAAACGCACUGGAAAACGAUCGAUCUAGAAUUCACUAGAGGGAAAAGUUUUCAGUUUAUUUUGCACGGUAAGUUUCUUUUCAAAUUAAUUAAAAAUUUAAUUACUUCCAAACCGAACAUUUCACAUUUCAGGUCAGGUGAAGGAAAACGGUUGGAGAUUACGAAAUGUUGUUUGAGUUUGUUUUCUUGAUCGAAGAGAAUUUCAAAUUGAUAUGUAACGAACGACAAGAGAAAUGGAUACCACCAUCACAAACAUUCGUGCAGAACAAAGUUACGAAGGACAUGUAGCUUCACACGACUGUUCCGCCUGUCGGGGGGAAGCAGACAGCCAUAUGCUGGUUAAACGAUUCUACAAAUUGACCGCGAAUGGCAGCGCUGAUGUCACUGGCCCAGAAUGCAUUUUUAUUAAUGCCCAAGUGUUUUGUUUUGGGAUUGUUAAGUGAACUACAAUUAUCGAUAGUAAUUGCAUUAUUUGUUACCUCUCCUGGUAUAAGCUCCGGAUGAUGCCAACAUUGAAAUCAAAACCCCACGGCGGAUACAUUUGAAGCACUACGAUUAAAUGGGCAAUGUUUGCCUGAAGUAAAUUCAACAACUACGCAAGUGCAACGCGAUUUUUAUGAAGUUCGCGGUGAAUUCUUGGAACCGAUGGAAGAAAAAGUUCAAUAAUUUUCCGGAAUGAGCUUUAUGGACCAUCAUUCGAAUGUCACAAGUCGCCAAACUUGUCUACCAUAAUUUCCAUGAUUGAUGGAAAGGAAGCUUCCGAAUAAAAGGACAUCUUUUAGCUAACGAAAAUAAAAUAAGUAGGACAUAA